rnacentral:rRNA from 1 species
CAUGCCUGUUUGAGUGUCAUGAAAAUAUCAACCUUGACUUGGGUUUUGUGCUCUAGUCUCGGCUUGGAAUUGGGUGCUUGCCGCUUUUACGAGCGGCUCACCUUAAAUGUAUUAGCUGGAUCUGUCUUUGAGACUUGGUUUGACUUGGCGUAAUAAGUAUUUCGCUAAGGACAUUCUUCGGAGUGGCCUCGUUUCUAGGACGCUUGUCCGCUUUCCAAUACAAGUUCCACCUUGUGGACAUGACUUUUUAUUAUCUGGCCUCAAAUCAGGUAGGACUACCCGCUGAACUUAAGCAUAUCAAUAAGCGGAGGAAAAGAAACUAACAAGGAUUCCCCUAGUAACGGCGAGUGAAGCGGGAAAAGCUCAAAUUUGAAAUCUGGCAGCCUCAGGUUGCCCGAGUUGUAAUCUAUAGAAACGUUUUCCGCGCCGGCCCAUGUACAAGUCCCUUGGAACAGGGCGUCAUAGAGGGUGAGAAUCCCGUCCUUGACACGGACCACCGGUGCUUUGUGAUACGUUUUCAACGAGUCGAGUUGUUUGGGAAUGCAGCUCAAAAUGGGUGGUAAAUUCCAUCUAAAGCUAAAUAUUGGCGAGAGACCGAUAGCGAACAAGUACCGUGAGGGAAAGAUGAAAAGCACUUUGGAAAGAAAGUUAAACAGUAUGUGAAAUUGUUGAAAGGGAAACGAUUGAAGUCAGUCGUGUCUAUUGGACUCAGCCGGUUCUGCCGGUGUACUUCCUUUAGAUGGGGUCAACAUCAGUUUUGAUCGCUGGAAAAGGGCGGGAGGAAUGUA